UACGGUGGGGGCAAGCGUUGUUCGGAAUUACUGGGCGUAAAGGGCGCGUAGGUGGCCUUCUAAGUUGAACGUGAAAUCCCUGGGCUCAACCCAGGAACUGCGUCCAAGACUGGGAGGCUUGAAUCCGGGAGAGGGAUGCGGAAUUCCAGGUGUAGCGGUGAAAUGCGUAGAUAUCUGGAGGAACACCGGUGGCGAAGGCGGCAUCCUGGACCGGUAUUGACACUGAGGCGCGAAAGCCAGGGGAGCAAACGGG
rnacentral:rRNA from 1 species